CCUACGGGAGGCAGCAGUGGGGAAUAUUGCACAAUGGGCGCAAGCCUGAUGCAGCGACGCCGCGUGAGGGAUGACGGCCUUCGGGUUGUAAACCUCUUUCAGUAGGGAAGAAGCGAAAGUGACGGUACCUGCAGAAGAAGCGCCGGCUAACUACGUGCCAGCAGCCGCGGUAAUACGUAGGGCGCAAGCGUUAUCCGGAAUUAUUGGGCGUAAAGAGCUCGUAGGCGGUUUGUCGCGUCUGCCGUGAAAGUCCGGGGCUCAACUCCGGAUCUGCGGUGGGUACGGGCAGACUAGAGUGAUGUAGGGGAGACUGGAAUUCCUGGUGUAGCGGUGAAAUGCGCAGAUAUCAGGAGGAACACCGAUGGCGAAGGCAGGUCUCUGGGCAUUAACUGACGCUGAGGAGCGAAAGCAUGGGGAGCGAACAGGAUUAGAUACCCUGGUAGUCCAUGCCGUAAACGUUGGGCACUAGGUGUGGGGGACAUUCCACGUUUUCCGCGCCGUAGCUAACGCAUUAAGUGCCCCGCCGUCGGGAGGUACGGCCGCGAGACGUAAACUUAAAUAGAAGUUAGACGGCGUGAGACGUGCCGACGGACGACGACGAGGGAGGAGG
rnacentral:rRNA from 1 species